UUUGAAUAUUGGCAUUACAUUCAACUUUACUGACAUUGUAUUAUGAUCAGACAGAAUUUUGGAUUUUUCUCUUCUAUUCAGACAUGAUUAGGUGCUGACUGUAGACGUGAACAAUAGGCAACUGGAAACAAAUGGCCCUAAUGUCACAAGAGAGAUAAAACAGAUCUAAAAUGCUACUUCCCAUCGGUGUUCAUCAAAGCCUGAUUCAGUUAUUGCAGAAGGACUGCGGGUCUGUGCUUGAGUUUACGUUCGCUUUCACAAGAUAUUUCAGCCAUUAUCCUGAUAACAUAGACAAUCUUUGGGGAUGUUAUUAGAUCCUUCCCUCCUUUUCUUCCUUCCAUUCUUUUUCCCUCCUUCUUCCCUCCUUCCCUUCCUUCUUCUUUCCCUCGGUCCUCCUUUCUUAAUAGAUAUGGACAAUGCUGUGGUUGAUCUUUAAAGUACUUUAAAUGUUCAAAGGCAUUUCAAACACCUUUUGUUUCACAAAGAUAAAACAUUGUUUACAUAGUUCUAGGACAACAAUAAGCAAUAUAUAACGCACAGAAGGACUAGGGGAAAAAUAGGGUGUUUUUCCUCUCUUAUUUUCUUCAGUAUUUUCUUUUUUCCCUCCCGGUCACCAUCCUCCCUUUCUGUCUACUCUCCCCUAACUUGUUGUUUCUCCCCACUCAUGGUUGCAGCAGCACAUCUAGGCACUUUUCACUUCUUCCCAUAAACUCUCAGUGAGUUAGCAGAGGAAAUUCUACCUUUGGUUUAACCCUUUUUUUUUUCCAUACAGAUUUCUCAAAACACCCAGAUGAGGCCUUCUCUGACUUUAAAUGAUCCUCCAAUUAUAUCUUCAUACAGACACAGGGUGUCUAGAGACACAGAGAAUGUCUUCAAUCACAUGCAACGUUGCUUCUUCUGCCAGCCAAACACUGUGAAAGAAGUUGGUGUAGUGAGAUGGGCUUUGUUUUAUGCCAAUCUGAGGUCAAGUCCCAACUCUGCCACAAAUCCACUGUUAGACAAAUUCCUUAAUCUUUGGAUCUGCUCCCUCAUCUACAAAAUGGGGAUAAUAAAACUCACCCCUCAAUGAGACCUGACAUGGCAGAUCUGUACAUCACAGAAUACAAUGCAUGGUAAUUAUCUAUGGCAGACUGUGGCCCAUCGUAGACACCCAGUGAUGAUGAACUCUUUGGCAGCUCAUUUCUUCUCAGCCUUGCAAUAGCCAUCCAGGCUUUUAAUUAUUUUUAAAAAUUUUUCAUAACUUCCUACUUCAUCAGCUGGGAACUGGUCUUUCUGAAUUGCCUUAGUUUUAGAUAAAGGCUCUUGUGGGCCCAGGAUGGUGGGAAAGAACAAUUUCCCUCUGUUUACCUGCCUAACAAGGAUAAAUGACUCUAUCUCUGUGGCUUAUGUCGAAUGCCUGAUAAUGCAUCUCCAAGAGAAGCACUUAGCAAGAAAACUCAUAAAUAUCGCUAUAAUGUUUAUUCAAAGUACUCUAUUUGCAAGGCCAAGUAUACAAAUGAAGGAUGAAAACAGACAAAAUGGGUCACUAACAUUAGCCUGUGCUGCUUGUGAGGUAGGUAGUAAUAAUACAGUGUGUUGUCUCUUAGUGCUUCUUUUUCAGGGAUUUUUAGUUACAUAACAAAGAUUUAUUGUAAGAAUAAGAAACUUACUCUCUCCCAUCUUAAUGGGAUGUCUGCUGGUCUGGGAAUGCAGGUCAUAGAGAUGUAUUACCAAAAGUGCAUGUUUUAGAAGGUUCUUUGUCUCCCAAGCCUUGAUAUUUGCAUAAUAUACAAAGUCAAUUUAUACUCCUUAAUCAUACAAAAUUACUGCAUCUCUUUCCCUUAGCAUCCUGGCAAUCAUGUUCCCGCAGGAAUGGAAUAGAACCUAGAGGUUAUUUACCUUUAAAGAGAGACAAAUAAAAGAACAGAGAAUAACUGAUCGUGAAAGUGAAACUCAAUUUAAUCCACAUUGAUCCAGAGCUGAAUGGAGGCUAAAUGGUUGAGAUACAAACAGGCAGAUUUUUGCCUCAACAGAAGGAAAGAAAGAAGGAAGCAAACUAAAAAUAAGUACCCAUUAUAUGUGAACAGGUGUACUUAAAAAUGUUCAUAUUUCAUCUCACCCAUUUUUGAACUAAUGGUUGUGAUUUUACCCUUUAAAAAAGGUAGACAAGAGACAUUUCUUUCUUAUUAUGGUCACUCAGCUAGUGAAUGGCAUAGUGGUGUUUAUCUCAGUUUAUGACUGACUCUAAAACUUACACUUUCCAUUCUACCAUUAUAUCUCUGUAACCUCAGUUAAAUCUUCAUGCCUAAAGCUGCUAAAAAAUUUAAUCAGUGACUGAAUGGGUAAUAAGUUCCUUAUCACCAAUAUAGGUGCCUGGAACCUGCAGAAACAGAAUACUGAAGAAAAGCUCCACAAAGGGUGGAGGCUGAAAUUCUACAAUAGCUAUCAUUUCUGUGUUUCUGUGUUCAUCUCUCUUCUUGCUACCAUUGCUUGUGGUCAGAUUGUUGGAAGCUGCAUAUGAAUAGUGUUUUAAAUAGCAACUACAGCAACAGUUGCAUCUGUCCUCUAUCAUUGGGUGCCUUGUCAAGCAUUUUAUAAACAUUAUUGCAUUUAGUCCUUAGUACUUAAUGAAAUGUUGUUUUAUUGCCCCAUUUUUUUUUUCAGGUAAGAAAAAUUAAUUUCAGAAAGGAAAAUAAACUUGCUUGAGGCAGGAUAUUUCAAAUCUUGGAUUCUAACCUGGAUCUAGCUGACUCAAAGAAAGUUACAUAUUUUGAUCCGUGUGUCAAAAAUCUCAAACCUCUUGGGGAAAAAAUUUACAGGAGAAAAAAAGUUAAUGCUUUCCUUUUGAGGGAUGUACUUCAUUCAAAAUAAUAUCUUACACAGGUGCUCUUCAAUGGACAAAGGCCAUAAGAGGCUAGAAAGCAAAAGGACCCAUUAAUGUAAUGCAAACAUCAGUCUCCUGGAGUAAACAGGUGAAUGGAGAAGCGUGGAGAGUAGAUGUGGAUGAGUGAAAAAUACAUCACACCAUGUCUUCAAAUUACAUCCAGCAACUUCACAUGCACUAUGAAACCCUUGUUGCCACAAUAGUCCCUCUUUCUUUGAACUACUACAAGAAUAAAGAAAUUUCUAAUCUUUUGUAGAAUAAUUACAUAGACUCUCACUCAUUGCUCUUGUUUCAUAGGUGGCUGAUUUUCCAAUAAUAUUAAAUACUUUUGGAAGGGCUGGGACUACAUCUAAUUUCUUGAAAAGUCUGGUGUUGUGGAAGACCAAGACCCAGACUGUUGAGGUCAGUCUAAUGUAAUGUGAAAUAACUAAGCUCUGUGUACUUCUUUACCAUGAGUGUAUAAAUAAAAUAUCAUUGCAUUUAAGGAAA